rnacentral:rRNA from 1 species
CCUACGGGGUGCAGCAGUAGGGAAUAUUGCUCAAUGGGGGAAACCCUGAAGCAGCAACGCCGCGUGGAGGAUGAAGGUUUUCGGAUUGUAAACUCCUUUUGUUAGAGAAGAUAAUGACGGUAUCUAACGAAUAAGCACCGGCUAACUCCGUGCCAGCAGCCGCGGUAAUACGGAGGGUGCAAGCGUUACUCGGAAUCACUGGGCGGAAAGAGCGGGUAGGCGGGAUAGCAAGUCAGAUGUGAAAUCCUAUGGCUUAACCAUAGAACUGCAUUUGAAACUGUUAUUCUAGAGUAUGGGAGAGGUAGGUGGAAUUCUUGGUGUAGGGGUAAAAUCCGUAGAGAUCAAGAGGAAUACUCAUUGCGAAGGCGACCUGCUAGAACAUAACUGACGCUGAUGCGCGAAAGCGUGGGGAGCAAACAGGAUUAGAUACCCCAGUAGUC